rnacentral:rRNA from 1 species
AUUGAACGCUGGCGGCAGGCCUAACACAUGCAAGUCGAACGAGUGGCGGACGGGUGAGUAAUGUCUGGGAAACUGCCUGAUGGAGGGGGAUAACUACUGGAAACGGUAGCUAAUACCGCAUACCAUCAGAUGUGCCCAGGUGGGAUUAGCUAGUUGGUGGGGUAACGGCUCACCAAGGCGACGAUCCCUAGCUGGUCUGAGAGGAUGACCAGCCACACUGGGACUGAGAAACGGUCCAGACUCCUACGGGAGGCAGCAGUGGGGAAUAUUGUACAAUGGGCGAAAGCCUGAUGCAGCCAGGCCGCGUGUAUGAAGAAGGCCUUCGGGUCGUAAAGUACUGUUGGCGGGGAGGCGUUACCCGCAGAGGAAGCACCGGCUAACUCCGUGCCAGCAGCCGCGGUAAUUC